UGCGGAGGGAUCAUUAAAGAGAGCCUAAAAAACUCCCGCAAAACCCCAUGUGAACAUACCAUACGUUGCCUCGGCAGGCCCCAGACGCGCCUGGCGCGCGCACCCCCAGGGGGGGCGCGGCUGGGACCUGCCGGCGGCCCAAGCAAACCCUGUCGUCACUGAAUUCUGAGCCCGCACGUAGGAAAUUAAGUUAAAACUUUCAACAACGGAUCUCUUGGUUCUGGCAUCGAUGAAGAACGCAGCGAAAUGCGAUAAGUAAUGUGAAUUGCAGAAUUCAGUGAAUCAUCGAAUCUUUGAACGCACAUUGCGCCCGCCAGUAUUCUGGCGGGCAUGCCUGUUCGAGCGUCAUUUCAACCCCUUAAGCCCCUGUUGCUUAGCGUUGGGAGCCUACGGCCUGCCGUAGCUCCUCAAAGUUAGUGGCGGAGCCGGCCCGCACCCCAGGCGUAGUAGUUCAGUCAGCUCGCCCGCGGUCGGACCAGUCCCCUGCCGUAAAACACCCCAUUCUCGCAAGGUUGACCUCGGAUCAGGUAGGGAUACCCGCUGAACUUAAGCAUAUC
rnacentral:rRNA from 1 species